rnacentral:rRNA from 1 species
GGUUGCGAUCAUAGCAACACUAAUGCACCGGAUCCCGUCAGAACUCCGCAGUUAAGCGAGCUUGGGCGAGAGUAGUACUAGGAUGGGUGACCCCCUGGGAAGUCCUCGUGUUGCAACCC